AUUUACGUAGUUUAUAUAAAACAAAUUAUUUUCAAUAAUUAAAAAAUUAAAAUUUGUAAAUU
rnacentral:tRNA from 1 species